CUCGUAGGCGGUUCGUCGCGUCCGGUGUGAAAGUCCAUCGCUUAACGGUGGAUCCGCGCCGGGUACGGGCGGGCUUGAGUGCGGUAGGGGAGACUGGAAUUCCCGGUGUAACGGUGGAAUGUGUAGAUAUCGGGAAGAACACCAAUGGCGAAGGCAGGUCUCUGGGCCGUCACUGACGCUGAGGAGCGAAAGCGUGGGGAGCGAACAAG
rnacentral:rRNA from 1 species